rnacentral:rRNA from 1 species
UGGGGAAUAUUGGACAAUGGGCGAAAGCCUGAUCCAGCCAUGCCGCGUGAGUGAUGAAGGCCUUAGGGUUGUAAAGCUCUUUCGUCGGGGAAGAUAAUGACGGUACCCGAAGAAGAAGCCUCGGCUAACUCCGUGCCAGCAGCCGCGGUAAGACGGAGGAGGCUAGCGUUGUUCGGAAUUACUGGGCGUAAAGCGUGCGCAGGUUGUGAGUUCAGUUUGAUGUGAAAGCCCGGGGCUCAACCUCGGAUGUGCAUUAAAUACUGGCUCGCUGGAGGUUGGAAGAGGAGAGUGGAAUUCCCAGUGUAGAGGUGAAAUUCGUAGAUAUUGGGAAGAACACCAGUGGCGAAGGCGGCUCUCUGGUCCAUACCUGACACUCAUGCACGAAAGCGUGGGGAGCAAACAGG